GACGAACGCUGGCGGCGUGCUUAACACAUGCAAGUCGAGCGGAAAGGCCUUCGGGGGUACUCGAGCGGCGAACGGGUGAGUAACACGUGAGUGAUCUGCCCCUCACUCUGGGAUAACUGCCUGAAAGGGUGGCUAAUACCGGAUAUUCACAUGCUGCUGCAUGGUGGUGUGUGGGAAGCUUUUGUGGUGGGGGAUGUGCUCGCGGCCUAUCAGCUUGUUGGUGGGGUAAUGGCCUACCAAGGCUUUGACGGGUAGCCGGCCUGAGAGGGUGACCGGCCACACUGGGACUGAGACACGGCCCAGACUCCUACGGGAGGCAGCAGUGGGGAAUAUUGGACAAUGGGCGGAAGCCUGAUCCAGCAACGCCGCGUGAGGGAUGACGGCCUUCGGGUUGUAAACCUCUUUCAGCACAGACGAAGCUGCCUCCACGUGUGGGGGUGGUGACGGUAUGUGCAGAAGAAGCACCGGCCAACUACGUGCCAGCAGCCGCCGUAAAAC
rnacentral:rRNA from 1 species